rfam:Danio rerio chromosome 4, GRCz11 reference primary assembly.
GGCCCAGUGACCUAAAGGAUAGGGCAUCAGCCUCUUGAGUUGGGCAUUGUGGGUUCAAGUCCCAUCUGGGUUG